CAUAAGCACAUUUUUUUUAAACAGCACCUCAAAUUACAUGUACUUACAUAUUUUUAAAUGACAUGGAAAAUAAAGUGAUGCAUGUUAACAUCACUGAACUUAUUUUUGACAGUAGCAUUGUUUUAGAAUCAUACCUUUAUUGUUAAAAGUUCAUGAUAUUUUGUGUUCAGAAAUUUGAAAAUCUUUAUUGUGUAUUCUUGCAUUCUCCCUGAUAUUUAUUUACAGCUACUUUAUGCUUACUUUUACAUUUAAAUAUAGUUUCUUAUCUAGUACAUGUCAUUUUUGUGUAUGCCUGUAAAUAGUUUUAUGCAGAACAAAAAGUUUUGUAUUGUGCAAAGAGCUGUGAUAAAUUUGUACACAAAUUUUAUUUGUAUGUUUCAUGUGUUAUUUUAUUCUUAUGUUUUUUUCUCCUGAAAUAUUUGGUAUUAUAUUUACUGUGCUGUAUUGACCCCCCCCCUCUCUCUCUCUCUCUCUCUCUCUCUCUCUCUCUCCAUAUAUCCCCCUUCUCUCUUUCUUCAUCACUCUUUCUAAUAUGGUUUACUUUCUUCAGAUAAUGACAUGUACUGUACUAUUGUUUUAUUUGUUUUGCAUUGUUAUGAAGUAUAUCAUAAAAUAAAGUUGUUUUUUU
rnacentral:sRNA from 1 species